GAGUUUGAUCCUGGCUCAGGAUGAACGCUGACAGAAUGCUUAACACAUGCAAGUCGAUGGGGAAGUGGUGCUUGCACCAUGGUAACCAUGGCGGACGGGUGAGUAACGCGUAAGGGACUUACCUGCGGGACUGGGAUAACAGUAGGAAACUGCUGAUAAGACCGGAUAAAGUCAUGGAGCUGCAUGGUUCUAUGAUGAAAGGAGACGCCUGCGGAGAGCCUUGCGUCCUAUUAGCUAGUUGGAGGGGUAAUGGCCCACCAAGGCGAAGAUAGGUAGCCGGCCUGAGAGGGUGGACGGCCACAAGGGGACUGAGAUACGGCCCUUACUCCUACGGGAGGCAGCAGUGGGGAAUAUUGGACAAUGGGGGCAACCCUGAUCCAGCAAUUCUGUGUGCACGAAGACGGUUUUCGGAUUGUAAAGUGCUUUCAGCAGGGAAGAAGGAAGUGACGGUACCUGCAGAAGAAGCGACGGCUAAAUACGUGCCAGCAGCCGCGGUAAUACGUAUGUCGCGAGCGUUAUCCGGAAUUAUUGGGCAUAAAGGGCAUCUAGGCGGCCUAACAAGUCAGGGGUGAAAACCUGCGGCUCAACCGCAGGCUUGCCUUUGAAACUGUAAGGCUGGAGUAUCGGAGAGGUGGACGGAACUGCACGAGUAGAGGUGAAAUUCGUAGAUAUGUGCAGGAAUGCCGAUGAUGAAGAUAGUUCACUGGACGGUAACUGACGCUGAAGUGCGAAAGCCGGGGGAGCGAACAGGAUUAGAUACCCUGGUAGUCCCGGCCGUAAACGAUGAUUACUGGGUGUGGGCAGGAAGACUGUCUGUGCCGAAGCAAAUGCGAUAAGUAAUCCGCCUGGGGAGUACGGCCGCAAGGCUGAAACUCAAAGGAAUUGACGGGGACCCGCACAAGCGGUGGAGCAUGU
rnacentral:rRNA from 1 species